AUUGAACGCUGGCGGCAUGCCUUACACAUGCAAGUCGAACGGCAGCACGGGUGCUUGCACCUGGUGGCGAGUGGCGAACGGGUGAGUAAUACAUCGGAACGUACCUUAUCGUGGGGGAUAACGCAGCGAAAGCUGUGCUAAUACCGCAUACGCCCUGAGGGGGAAAGCGGGGGAUCGAAAGACCUCGCGCGAUUAGAGCGGCCGAUGCCUGAUUAGCUUGUUGGUGGGGUAAAAGCCCACCAAGGCGACGAUCAGUAGCAGGUCUGAGAGGACGAUCAGCCACACUGGGACUGAGACACGGCCCCGACUCCUACGGGGGGCAGCAGUGGGGAAGUUUGGACAAUGGGGGCAACCCUGAUCCAGCAAUGCCGCGUGAGUGAAGAAGGCCUUCGGGUUGUAAAGCUCUUUUGUCAGGGAAGAAACACCGGCUCUAACACAGUCCGGGAAUGACGGUACCUGAAGAAUAAGCACCGGCUAACUACGUGCCAGCAGCCGCGGUAA
rnacentral:rRNA from 1 species